UACACGACCGUACCGCAAACCGACACUGGUGCGCGAGAUGAGUAUUCUAAGGCGCUUGAGAGAACUCAGGAGAAGGAACUCGGCAAAUUGACACCGUAACUUCGGAAGAAGGUGUGCCUUUAGUAGGUGAACCAUUUACUUGGGGAGCCCAAUGAGGCUGCAAAAAAUCGGUGGCUGCAACUGUUUAUUAAAAACACAGCACUCUGCUAAGACGAAAGUCGACGUAUAGGGUGUGACGCCUGCCCGGUGCUGGAAGAUUAAAUGAUGGGGUGCAAGCUCUUGAUUGAAGUCCCAGUAAACGGCGGCCGUAACCAUAACGGUCCUAAGGUAGCGAAAUUCCUUGUCGGGUAAGUUCCGACCUGCACGAAUGGCGUAAUGAUGGCCACACUGUCUCCUCCUGAGACUCAGCGAAGUUGAAAUGUUUGUGAUGAUGCAAUCUCCCCGCGGAAAGACGGAAAGACCCCAUGAACCUUUACUGUAGCUUUGUAUUGGACUUUGAACAGAUCUGUGUAGGAUAGGUGGGAGGCUUUGAAGUGUGGUCGCUAGAUCGCAUGGAGCCAACGUUGAAAUACCACCCUGGUGUGUUUGAGGUUCUAACCUAGGUCCAUUAUCUGGAUCGGGGACAGUGCAUGGUAGGCAGUUUGACUGGGGCGGUCUCCUCCCAAAGUGUAACGGAGGAGUUCGAAGGUACGCUAGGUACGGUCGGACAUCGUGCUAAUAGUGCAAUGGCAUAAGCGUGCUUAACUGCGAGACUGACAAGUCGAGCAGAUGCGAAAGCAGGACAUAGUGAUCCGGUGGUUCUGUAUGGAAGGGCCAUCGCUCAACGGAUAAAAGGUACUCUGGGGAUAACAGGCUGAUACCGCCCAAGAGUUCAUAUCGACGGCGGUGUUUGGCACCUCGAUGUCGGCUCAUCUCAUCCUGGGGCUGUAGCCGGUCCCAAGGGUAUGGCUGUUCGCCAUUUAAAGAGGUACGUGAGCUGGGUUUAAAACGUCGUGAGACAGUUUGGUCCCUAUCUUCCGUGGGCGCUGCAGAUUUGAGGAAGCCUGCUCCUAGUACGAGAGGACCGGAGUGGACGAACCUCUGGUGUAUCGGUUGUCACGCCAGUGGCAUUGCCGAGUAGCUAAGUUCGGAAGAGAUAACCGCUGAAAGCAUCUAAGCGGGAAACUCGUUUCAAGAUUAGAUCUGCCGGGGCCUUGAGCCCCCUAAAGAGUCGUUCAAGACCAGGACGUUGAUAGGUCAGGUGUGGAAGCCAA
rnacentral:rRNA from 1 species